UGCAGUCGAGCGAUGACGAGGAGCUUGCUCCUCUGAUUUAGCGGCGGACGGGUGAGUAACACGUGGGCAACCUGCCCUGUAGACUGGGAUAACUUCGGGAAACCGGAGCUAAUACCGGAUAAUCCAUUUUACUUCAUGGUGAAAUGUUGAAAGGCGCUUUCGCGCCACUGCAGGAUGGGCCCGCGGUGCAUUAGCUAGUUGGUGGGGUAACGGCCUACCAAGGCGACGAUGCAUAGCCGACCUGAGAGGGUGAUCGGCCACAUUGGGACUGAGACACGGCCCAAACUCCUACGGGAGGCAGCAGUAGGGAAUCUUCCACAAUGGACGAAAGUCUGAUGGAGCAACGCCGCGUGAGUGAUGAAGGUUUUCGGAUCGUAAAACUCUGUUGUAAGGGAAGAACAAGUACGUUAGGAAAUGAACGUACCUUGACGGUACCUUAUUAGAAAGCCACGGCUAACUACGUGCCAGCAGCCGCGGUAAUACGUAGGUGGCAAGCGUUGUCCGGAUUUAUUGGGCGUAAAGCGCGCGCAGGUGGUUUCUUAAGUCUGAUGUGAAAUCUCGCGGCUCAACCGCGAGCGGUCAUUGGAAACUGGGGAACUUGAGUGCAGAAGAGGAUAGUGGAAUUCCAAGUGUAGCGGUGAAAUGCGUAGAGAUUUGGAGGAACACCAGUGGCGAAAGGCGACUGUCUGGUCUGUAACUGACACUGAGGCGCGAAAGCGUG
rnacentral:rRNA from 1 species